UACGGGGGGGGCAAGCGUUGUUCGGAAUUACUGGGCGUAAAGGGCUCGUAGGCGGCCAACUAAGUCAGACGUGAAAUCCCCCGGGCUCAACCCGGGAACUGCGUCCGAUACUGGCAGGCUUGAAUCCGGGAGAGGGAUGCGGAAUUCCAGGUGUAGCGGUGAAAUGCGUAGAUAUCUGGAGGAACACCGGUGGCGAAGGCGGCAUCCUGGACCGGCAUUGACGCUGAGGCGCGAAAGCAUGGGGAGCGAACAGG
rnacentral:rRNA from 1 species